rnacentral:rRNA from 1 species
UAGGGAAUAUUGGUAAUGUGCGAAAGCGCGAACCAGCAGCGCCGCGUGCACGAUGAAGGCCUUCGGGUUGUAAAGUGCUUUUAGAGAGGAUGAGGAAGGACAGUACUUUCUGAAUAAGCCUCGGCUAACUACGUGCCAGCAGCCGCGGUAAAACGUAGGAGGCUAGCGUUAUCCGGAUUUACUGGGCGUAAAGCGCGUGCAGGUGGUUUCGUAAGUUGGAUGUGAAAGCUCCUGGCUUAACUGGGAGAGGUCGUUCAAAACUGCGAGGCUUGAGAGUGGUAGAGGGAGGUGGAAUUCCGGGUGUAGUGGUGAAAUGCGUAUAUAUCCGGAGGAACACCAGUGGCGAAAGCGGCCUCCUGGACCAUUUCUGACACUCAGACGCGAAAGCUAAGGUAGCAAACG